rnacentral:rRNA from 1 species
ACCAGACGAUGCGGUUACCGCGGCUGCUGGCACGGAGUUAGCCGGUGCUUCUUCUGUGAGUGAUGUCCUUCCUGCCGGCUAUUAACCCGCAGGCCUUCUUCCUCACUGAAAGUGCUUUACAACCCGAAGGCCUUCUUCACACACGCGGCAUGGCUGGAUCAGGGUUGCCCCCAUUGUCCAAUAUUCCCCACUGCUGCCUCCCGUAGGAGUCUGGGCCGUGUCUCAGUCCCAGUGUGGCUGAUCAUCCUCUCAGACCAGCUACGGAUCGUCGCCUUGGUGAGCCGUUACCUCACCAACCAGCUAAUCCGACAUAGGCUCAUCCGAUAGCGCGAGGCCCGAAGGUCCCCCGCUUUCCCCCGGUAGGGCGUAUGCGGUAUUAGCCUGGGUUUCCCCAGGUUAUCCCCACUACCGGGCAGAUUCCUAUGCAUUACUCACCCGUCCGCCGCUCGCCACCAGGGAGCAAGCUCCCCGUGCUGCCGCUCGACUUGCAUGUGUUAGGCCUGCCGCCAGCGUUCAAU